AGCGAACGCUGGCGGCAGGCCUAACACAUGCAAGUCGAACGAACUCUUCGGAGUUAGUGGCGGACGGGGGAGGAACACGUGGGAACGUGCCUGUUGGUUCGGAAUAGCUCAGGGAAACUUGUGCUAAUACCGAAUGUGCCCUUCGGGGGAAGGAUUUAUCGCCAUUAGAGCGGCCCUUGUCAGAUUAGCUAGUUGGGGAGGUAACGGCGCGCCAAGGAGACGAUCAGUAGCUGGUCGGAGAGGAUGACCAGCCACACUGGGAAUGCGGCACGGCCCAGAAGCCUACGGGAGGCAGCAGUGGGGAAUCUUGCGCGAUGGGCGAAAGCCUGACGCAGCCAUGCCGCGUGAAUGAUGAAGGUCUUAGGAUUGUAAAAUUCUUUCACCGGGGACGAUAAUGACGGUACCCGGAGAAGAAGCCCCGGCUAACUUCGUG
rnacentral:rRNA from 1 species